UUCUCCACAGGCACUUCAGGCCCCGGGAAUAUACAGUUAAAGCAACUCAAUUCCAUUACAUUGCAGUGCCUGAAAGAAAAGAACUUCAGCAGAGAGUGUGAGCUUUAAGGCAUUCUUCAUCCUGUGCUUUUGAAUUUCUCUUCCAUCAUGAGAGGAGAGAGCAAAGUUGUCAUCUUUACAAGAGAGAGAGAGAGAGAAGCUUGUAUUUCUGAUGCUACCGAUUCUCUGCCUACCCUGGAUAUAUUCAGCAUGGAGCUGUAGCUCAAAACAACAACAACACAUUUUAUGAAGAAGGCCCCAGGCUCAAAAUCUGGCAUGUCUAAGGAAAUCUGGAAGUCUAAGACCCAGGAGGGCUGCUGCAAAUCAGUCCAGACUAGGGGUGGGCAAAAUGUGGCCCCUUGAACCUACAAAGCUCCCCCUUUAAAAAUUAAAACCAUGUUGGACAAUAUUUUACAUAACUUUCCCCACUCCAAGAACUCACAACUGCUGCAAAAGGCAAUGGCUCUGCUCCCUCAACUCACUCCACAUACCCUCCUAGAAACAUGCCAUAAUUCCCUAAAUCAGCCAUAGAUUAAUCAAAAUUGGAAGUGACAUAACUCCAUUCCUGUUUUGAUUUUGCCUAAAUUAGAGCCAAAUUUGAACAUUUGUCCAGAAACAAAUAGUUCCUUUUUAAAAAGGAGUCUAGAGGAUUGUUUUACUUGUUUUCUCUAUCUGUAGGUUAACAUACAGCUCUGCUACUGCUGAUAAGAGUCUUGAGCUCUCUAGCAGUGUCAAAUGCUGCAGUGAGAAGUAGCUGAUCUGACUCUCUAGAACACGCAUUGGCAAGUCCUGUAAAGCUGCAUGAACCAGCAUCAAAAUGUCCUGUAACUGGUUCUGCAGAACCUGGUGGGGCCAUUUUAUUCAGAAUGGCUGUGGGGAUUACCAGAUUUGUAGAAUCCAAAAAGUCUUCAAGGCUAUCCUUUUGCAUGAGGAAGGAUUUCCCUCCUUCCCAAAGCUAGAUAUUUGGAUAGGGUAGAAGAAAAGCAGUGAAAGUGGUAGGGACCAUGUAAAUGGAAGCAGGAGGCAGUGUAUGUCUUACCAUUUGAUUUGGAAGGAAGUCUUUCCCUAUCCCUGACGUCCUGAAAUAUUGUCCAUGGAAUGCUUGGUUGCUGUCCUGCCUGUUACUUACACAAACAUUAGUAAUUGUGUACAAGUAUGCAGGUUUUGCAAGUUCAGUCUGGUUUCAGUAGUGAAUCAUCAUUAAGCUUCCAGAUUAAAUUAAAGGUGUGACAGCUGUCAUCAAUCAGCAAACAGCAUCACUCUGUAUGACGUCAUAGCAUCAACAUGAGAUUACAAAGCAUUACUGAUAAGUCUUGCAUGGAAAUUUUUUAUGUAGCUUUAAAAUAAUGUUGUAAUAAGCUGCCCUAUCCUCUUGAUGUUACUUUAUGCACAUAAAGAAAUAUAUUGGUUA